rnacentral:misc_RNA from 1 species
GAUGAAUAACGCAGCGAAAUGCGAUAAGUAAUGUGAAUUGCAGAAUUCAGUGAAUCAUCGAAUCUUUGAACGCACAUUGCGCCCCUUGGUAUUCCGGGGGGCAUGCCUGUUCGAGCGUCAUUUCAACCCUCAAGCUUCUGCUUGGUCUUGGGCCGUGCCGGCAACGGCUGGCCUUAAAACUAGUGGCGGUGCCAUCGAGCUCUACGCGUAGUAAUUCUAUCUCGCGUCUGGGCUUCGGUGGACGCUGGCCAGCAACCCCCAAUUUUCUAUGGUUGACCUCGGAUCAGGUAGGGAUACCCGCUGAACUUAAGCAUAUCAAUAAGCGGAGGA